CAUGCACUAAGACACCUUACAGCUUACUUUAUUCUUUUUAUUUAUUUAUUUGGCUGUGCCAGGUCUUAGUUGCGGCACGCAGGAUCUUUAGCUGCAGCAUGUGGGCUCUUAGUUACGGCAUGUGGGAUCUAGUUCCCUGACCAGGGAUCCAAUCUGGGCCCCCUGCAUUGAGAGUUCGGAGUCUUAACAGCUGGACCACCAGGAACUUGUAAUUCUAUGAAGUCUGAACUCCUCUAUUGAUUACAAGGUCUAUUCCUAUCCAUCAGAGUCACACUACACCCAAGCAGAGAACUUCCAAAUCUACCUGACCUCUCUCCAGAGCUUCCAGUUGCCUGCAGGACCUCUCUUCAUGUCCCUGUUCCACAGAUACAUCAAACUCCACAUGACUAAAAUGGAACUUAAUCACUCCCACCAAAAGCAGACUUCAGUAAUACCCCCUAAUUCACUUUCACUCAACUCCCUGGAGGCCAGUCUACAAACGGUAGCUAGAGGGACCUUUUAAAAUAAAAAUGAGAUCUAACCCUUCUUGACUUACAACCCAACAUUUGCACUUAGAUAAAACCUGAAUAAUUUUUUUAAAUUUAUUUUAUUUAUUUAUUUUUGGCUGCAUUGGGUCUUCUUUGCUGUGCAUGGGCUCUCUCUAGUUGCAGCGAGCGGGGGUUACUCUUCGUUGUGGUGCGCAGGCUUCUCAUUGCGGUGGCUUCUCUUGUUGCGGAGCACAGGCUCUAGGCACGCGGGCUUCAGUUGUGGCACACCGGCUCAGUAAUUGCGGCUCACGGACUCUAGAGCACAGGCUCAGUAGUUGCGGUGCAUGGGCUUAGUUGCUCCUUGGCAUGUGGGAUCUUCCCGAACCAGGGCUCAAACCCGUGUCCCCUGCAUUGGCAGGUGGAUUCUUAACCACUGCACCACCAGGGAAGCCCCAAACUCAAAUUCUUAACCACAGCAUAUAAAAGCCAUACAACCUGCCCCCAUCUACCUCUCCAAUGUCAUCUUCUACCUCUCCAAUGUCAUCUCCUAACCCUCUCCUCCUUGUUCAGGACAACUUAGCUACAUUGGCCUUUUUAAUGUUUUUUUAAGAAAGCUGUAUCACAUGUCAGAACCUUUGCACUGUUCCUUCCGCCUAGCAUGUCCUUUCCCUGGCUCAUCACAUCGCUGGUUCUUUGGCACCGUUAAUAUCUCAGCACAAAUAUCUAACUUCUUCAAAGGCCUAACUUGACCAGUUAAAGUUGUUCCCAACCAUCUCCCAAUCACUUUUUAACCAUUUCAUCGUUUUUCUUCAUAAUAUCUAUUACUAUCAAAACUGUUCUAUUUAUUUACUUGCUUUUAGUCUUUUCCCACUAGGACAUAAACUCAAUCAGAGCAGGGCCCUCAUCUGUCUUAUUCACAGUUCUAUCCCUGGCACCUAAAACAAUACUUGGCCAAUAAUAAGGGUGCAAUAAAUUUUUUUUAAUGAUAAAUAUAUAAGUAAUAUAUAAGAAUAUAUAAGUGAAUUUUAAAAUUCUUGCUCCUCCUGAAUUUGCAAUUUGAGUUAAUGGCAUCUCAAUGUUAGCAAUAUUUGAUUUCUCAGUGUUUCCCUUAACAUCCAAGUAACAAGUCCUGUUGAUUUUGUCAGUCUCCCCCAUAAAUCUGGCUCCUCCUUUUCCUAUUUCAGGCCUCAACUUUCCCCUCCAUUCCUGUAGACUGUCUGGGACCUUUUUCCAAUUUUUCCCCUCUCCAAUCCAUUUCCAGUACUGCCCUCACAAGUAACUUUCCACAACCCGACCAUACCAACCGCUUUACAUCACUUGUCUACAUACUUGUUAAACGGCAAUAAAUAUUCAUAGCAAUAAAUAUAUUUAUAUUGCAGCUAUACGUAUCAUAUAUAUGCAUGAUAUCAACUUGCUAUUUCUGAAAAUACAAGUGCAGAUACACAGUUGGAAAACAUAUUUUCUGAUAACAACUGGAAAAAGGUCUUUAUCUUUACCCAAGUUUUCUUUUUUUUUUUAACAGCUCAUUGGGGUAUAAUUGUUGUCUAGAUUAUUUAAAUAAUCAAGCAUACACAAGAAACAGUAGAAAUGUCUAAAGUUCCUGGCAUCAUAAAAAAAAUAAUCCAGCUCCAACCUAAAUUUCCAGCCUCAUCUCUACUGUCUUAUUCCUGUUUGUGUUUUCACUACCCAGCACAUUACGUCCGAGUACAUUUAACGAUCAAAAAGCCACAAGUUUGUUCUUGACAUAAACGGGAACCUCAUUUUUCAAAAUGCGCUAUCUAGUUACAGAAAAAGCCUCAUCAAAACAACCACCAACAUCUUAAACUCACACAGCAA